rnacentral:rRNA from 1 species
AGAGCGAACGCUGGCGGCAGGCUUAACACAUGCAAGUCGAGCGGGCGUAGCAAUACGUCAGCGGCAGACGGGUGAGUAACGCGUGGGAACAUACCUUUUGGUUCGGAACAACACAGGGAAACUUGUGCUAAUACCGGAUAAGCCCUUACGGGGAAAGAUUUAUCGCCGAAAGAUUGGCCCGCGUCUGAUUAGCUAGUUGGUGAGGUAACGGCUCACCAAGGCGACGAUCAGUAGCUGGUCUGAGAGGAUGAUCAGCCACAUUGGGACUGAGACACGGCCCAAACUCCUACGGGAGGCAGCAGUGGGAAUAUUGGACAAUGGGCGCAAGCCUGAUCCAGCCAUGCCGCGUGAGUGAUGAAGGCCCUAGGUUGUAAAGCUCUUUUGUGCGGGAAGAUAAUGACGGUACCGCAAGAAUAAGCCCCGGCUAACUUCGCGCCAGCAGCCGC